UUUCCACUGUCCUGUGCUGACUGAAAUGAAGUAUGACCCAGUCCUGCCCAGGCAAGCUGCUUCUAGUGAAUAGGAAGUGAGCAACACUGGAUUCCAGGCCAAGGGGAGAGAGGUAUUAACUCAUCAGCAGAAAUGUGAGUUCUUCCCAGCUUCUCCAUGCUGAUACUCCAUGGUUCUCCUACCACCAGACGCUACUGAGGCUAAACUUAUUGGACUAAAGAAAAAUAUUUGUGGGGAAAACUCUUUCAGAAUCCUGCUUUGAACCAGAGAAAUCCAUUCUCUUGAGGCUCUUUGCUGUGGAGAAGUUGGCCUUACCAAUCCACCUUUGGAGUUCAAGUUAUACGGAUCUGCAAGGCUGCCUGUGAAUAAAUGGUUGGUCACUACAGCCAAGUUUUUCAGGAGCUCCUGAAAGAUCACUGCAUAAACAAGGGAACAAGGGCAGAUGGAGACCAGACCUCUGGCUACUGUUGCUGCCACCGUCACAGCCACCACCUUCAUCCUCAUGAACCCCCUAUUUACUGAACACUCUCUAUAGGCCAGGUACCCUACCCUGUACCUGUGAAGUAAGGACUAUUAUUUCCUCUAUUUUAUAAAGGAGGAGUUGAGGCUCAGAGAGGUUAUGUUGCUUGCCAAAGAUCACACAGCUAGUAAGUGGCAAAAAUGAGAUUCUCUCUGAGUCCAGCUACAACAUAACUGAUAUUCUUGACAAUCAGGCUGGAUAGAAAAAGAUAAGAUAUGAGAAUUUUGGUGCUAUGAUUUGAAUUUUCCUUCCAAAGCUCAUGUUGGAACUUAAUCCCCAAUAUAACAGUACUAAUAGGUGGGGUCUUUAACACGGAGUCCCAGAAUUGUGGGACUCCGUGUUAAAGACCCCACCUAUUAGUACUGAAUGAAUUACUCCAUUUAUGAUUAAGGAAUUAAUGGGUCAUAAUGGGAGUGGAACAGUGGCUUUAUAAGAAGAGAAAGAGAGACCUGAGCUAGAACACUCAGCCCCCUUGCCAUGUGAUGCUCUGUACUACCUUGGGACUCUGGAAGGUUUCCACCAGAGAGAAGGCCCUCAUCAGAUGCAGCCCCUUGACUUUGGUUUUUAGCUUCUAUAACUGUAAUAAGUAUUUUUUUCUUUGUAAAUUAUCCAGUUUUUGGUGUUCUGUUAUAAGCAAUAAAAAGCAGACUAA